rnacentral:lncRNA from 1 species
GCCACAGGGGCCUCCAAAGGGCCUGCCCAGAAGUGGCAUGUACCACUUCUGCCCAUGUCUCUCUCCUUGACCAGCUCACGGGGACAAUCUGGCCUCAGAGGACUCUGGGAGUUGGUGGGCAGCAGCUCAACUCACCCUAUCACAAAGAGAGCACUUGACCAAAAGCCUGGUCUUAUCAGCAGUGUGCGAGCAUUUGAGAGGACCAAGAACGUGCCUGUGCUGGUUCUGCUUGUUUGCACAGAGACCCUGGUGAGGCCAAGCUGCUGGGAGCAGCAGAGGGGGCGGGCCUCUGGUGCUGGUUAGGUCAGUGAGGAGCCACAGGCAGAAUGAUCCCCUGUGCCCGGGACAGGAGUGAGCCGGCCGGCUGGGAGCAGCGAGGUGCACAGACUGGACCCCAGCCGGCCGCCUCUCGUGGCCAAUGCCGGUCCUUGUUUCUUUAGUGUCCCUUGCCCAACUCUGCACCACGAUGAUGUUUGCCUUGACAAAGUAAUUUUUAUGCUUAACUGGUAAAAUAUAUCAUUGGCCCUGAACUAAUAUAGACUCUCACAUCUUUCUCUGGAAAUAUGGGAGGUAAAUUCGUUAAUUAUUGUUUUUGGAUUGACGUGCUUUUCGGGCUUUUGAUUUAUGACUUGAUUGUAUUGCUUUAGGUAACUUCUAAUUUUUAACUGGAUCCAUUUGAAUAAACUUAGUGUUCUAUCUUGGUAUUAGCUAAAGGAAGAUUAAAAGUAAGCUGGAGAGUUUAGUAGCUUUGUAACAAUAGCAUAAAAUGUGGAAUAAUGAACUGUAAAUAUGUCUAAUUACAUAAAUAAUGCAUUUGUGUAAU